AAUUCGCCCUUAGAGUUUGAUCAUGGCUCAGAUUGAACGCUGGCGGCAGGCCUAACACAUGCAAGUCGAGCGGCAGCACAAGGGAGUUUACUCCUGAGGUGGCGAGCGGCGGACGGGUGAGUAAUGCCUAGGGAUCUGCCCAGUCGAGGGGGAUAACAGUUGGAAACGACUGCUAAUACCGCAUACGCCCUACGGGGGAAAGAGGGGGACUUUCGGGCCUCUCGCGAUUGGAUGAACCUAGGUGGGAUUAGCUAGUUGGUGAGGUAAUGGCUCACCAAGGCGACGAUCCCUAGCUGUUCUGAGAGGAUGAUCAGCCACACUGGGACUGAGACACGGCCCAGACUCCUACGGGAGGCAGCAGUGGGGAAUAUUGCACAAUGGGGGAAACCCUGAUGCAGCCAUGCCGCGUGUGUGAAGAAGGCCUUCGGGUUGUAAAGCACUUUCAGUAGGGAGGAAAGGUUGUAAGUUAAUACCUUGCAGCUGUGACGUUACCUACAGAAGAAGGACCGGCUAACUCCGUGCCAGCAGCCGCGGUAAUACGGAGGGUCCAAGCGUUAAUCGGAAUUACUGGGCGUAAAGCGUGCGCAGGCGGUUUGUUAAGCGAGAUGUGAAAGCCCCG
rnacentral:rRNA from 1 species